UAGGGAAUCUUCGGCAAUGGACGGAAGUCUGACCGAGCAACGCCGGCGUGAGUGAAGAAGGUUUUCGGAUCGUAAAGCUCUGUUGUAAGAGAAGAACGAGUGUGAGAGUGGAAAGUCCACACUGUGACGGUAUCUUACCAGAAAGGGACGGCUAACUACGUGCCAGCAGCCGCGGUAAUACGUAGGUCCCGAGCGUUGUCCGGAUUUAUUGGGCGUAAAGCGAGCGCAGGCGGUUAGAUAAGUCUGAAGUUAAAGGCUGUGGCUUAACCAUAGUACGCUUUGGAAACUGUUUAACUUGAGUGCAGAAGGGGAGAGUGGAAUUCCAUGUGUAGCGGUGAAAUGCGUAGAUAUAUGGAGGAACACCGGUGGCGAAAGCGGCUCUCUGGUCUGUAACUGACGCUGAGGCUCGAAAGCGUGGGGAGCAAACAGGAUUAGAUACCCUGGUAGUCCACGCCGUAAACGAUGAGUGCUAGGUGUUGGGUCCUUUCCCGGACUCAGUGCCGCAGCUAACGCAUUAAGCACUCCGCCUGGGGAGUACGACCGCGUU
rnacentral:rRNA from 1 species